UACGUAGGGUGCAAGCGUUGUCCGGAAUUAUUGGGCGUAAAGAGCUCGUAGGCGGUUUGUCGCGUCUGCUGUGAAAACCCGAGGCUCAACCUCGGGCCUGCAGUGGGUACGGGCAGACUAGAGUGCGGUAGGGGAGAUUGGAAUUCCUGGUGUAGCGGUGGAAUGCGCAGAUAUCAGGAGGAACACCAAUGGCGAAGGCAGAUCUCUGGGCCGUAACUGACGCUGAGGAG
rnacentral:rRNA from 1 species